GGACAGUAGGACAGGAUGACCUUUGGAUGACCAAUCCAUGACCUAGGGUCAUCAGGGCGGCCGGUAAUAUAAUGAGAUAUAAAAACAUUUGGGUUAUAAUCUAGGUACCAUUCUACCGUGAUCAUUCCAUGGUAGUGUCACUCAGAGGCAAACAAACAAGAGAAAGACUCAGUGGUUCCAUGCAUAAUUGGGUGGUACCAUGCAUAGUCGGGUGGUAGGGUGGUACCAUACAUAGUCGGGUGGUAGGGUGGUCCCAUGCAUAGUCGGGUGGUAGGGUGGUUCCAUACAUAGUCGGGUGGUAGGGUGGUCCCAUGCAUAGUCAGGUGGUUCCUUCCAGCAACUCCGUAUUGCGGAGAAUUGAGGAGUGUGACGGGCGACUAACUACCACAGUUCCCAUAACGGGUGAGUCAUCAUCAUCGUCUUUCAGACCUUUUUAGCAGAUCUCUCUCUCUCCGUCCUUGUCUCUCUCUCUCUCUCUCUCUCCCCCUCCUUCUCUCUCUCUCUCUCUCUCUCUCCUUGUCUCUCUCUCCUAUUCUCUCUCUCUCUC
ensembl:lncRNA